CCUUAUAAGUUAUAAACAGUUUAACCUACACUGCGUGUGUGUGUGUGUGUGUGUGUGUGUGUAAAUCUAAAGAGUUCAAAAUGUUGAUUGACUUUAUUAUGUGGGGAAAAAGUAAACUCUUGGGGAAGUGCGGAAUACGGAAAUAUUGGUAUAUUUCCCUUCGAAUUUUAGUCAUUAAGUAACGCAAAACAUAUUUCGUGUCAUAUUUUUUGUAACAUCAAAGUUGAUAAGUCUCCAAAUGUUGGAUCAAACAGACGCAAACUGCGCAAACGAAUCAGUGUUUACGCUUCGAAGCUUCGCCAGCGUGACGUCACGCAUCAGCCACGGAGGACAAGAAGACGCCAUUUCGAGCCUAGUGAGCUGUGUUCCUCCUCUCAAUAUAGUGCGUCUUUGUCCCCCUUCAGCUGGAUCCUGGAUGCUGCCCUGGUGUGCAGGAGGCGUGUGGUGCAGAUCUUGUGGUUGUAGUAUGAUCAGUCCUGUUUGGGGGUUGACAGACAUACCUUUACUUGGGUGAGAGAAUAUUGCUGUUCCAGGCUCAUUUGUCCUUUGAGCACAUCUGGCUCUCAGUUCUUGCCUUUACAUUUAUAAACCCACACCAAGGAUUGCAGACAUCUCCAGUACCAAUGGUCAGUCAUGUCCCUCAGUAGAUUAGCUUCUGUUUCUGAGGAUUUACACUCUAAUGUUUACAAUAUUUCUUUUAGACUUAGAGUGUCAUGGCUAGCAUGCCUAGCUAUAAAUCCAGGUGUUCAAAUCCUGGCUGGGGCAAUCAGCACACAGCUCACCCAGCUAACAUUCAUCCUUCCUUCCGGUUGGUGAGUAAAAGAGUUCUUGACAGAUAUUAUCUGCCACACACUCAGAUGAGCACCAAGGCUAUAUGUUCUCUCUCUCUCUCUCUCUCUCUCUCUGUCUGUGUCUCUCAUGCACAUCCAGUCUUUCAGGCAGGCCCUCAGCUGAGACUACAAAAUGCAUUAGUUCACUGAAAGAAGACUGAUGUUACAUAGAAUCAACUUGGACAGCCUCACCAUUGUUCCAUCCAGAAAUGAUUUUCACCUCUCCCAGCAGGAGAAUGGAGGUAUGCAGAGAGCAAGAGAUUUUACUGCUUUGGGGGGGUCCCCUCUAAAGUUAAUCCUUUUACUGCUAAUGACACCUUCUUUCAAGUAACCCAAGACAGUUUUACUAAGCCAAAAUCAAAGUACAUAUAUGCAAUCAAAAAGCUUUGUUAAAUAUGUAUUGAAUUGCUACUUUACUGUGAGUGUUACUUUUCAAAAUUAUGUAAAAUUUGCUGUCAUUUUAUUAAACUGAGAGGAAGCCACAGCAAGAGUUAUUGAAUGAAAAUAAACCAAUCUACCAGAUGACAUGUGUGCUGUCCUGGGUGUCCUUGCUUGACAUGUGAUUCAUUACUCACAGGAUGUCACCUCUGUGGGAGUUGGCAUCCUCCAUCAGAAGUGGAGGACACACUGUAUCCACCUGCUCCAGGAGACUCCAGUUCUACUCCUACUUACCUGUGCUGCCAGUUAAGUUUCUCUUCCUGAACUCAAGCUUUUGUCCAUUUAACCCACUCGAUGAAGACUACCACUCACUGCUCUGCUCGUCAUUGCACAGUAACCUUAUGGUCAUGGAGAAAUAUAGUUUAAGGUUUGGGGAAGUGUACUAUGAUCAAGAAGAGAUACCAACCUGCAUAAUACCCACAAUAUAAAAAUGGGGUAUAUAUUGGGCAGUUUUUUGUUUUCUUCAGAGCUGGAUGCCUAAUUCUUUUCCCUGUGUAUUCUUACUCGGCUUUUUUCUCAGAUGUGCUGUGCAGGUUGUGGGGGAAGUAAGACUGACAAAGAAGAAACCAGGGACUGCAAGGACGGUUGAAAAGGUUGUGUGGUGCAUGUUUGUGUUGUGGUGGUGUGUUGUAAGGCUUGACUUAAAUGUACAUGUUGGAUCGACUGUAUAAGCCAAGUUAAUGAGUGGAGCAAGUACCAGACUGUUGAAGUACAUUUUAUUUGAUUUCAGGCAGUCCAAGGAAGUAUGUGUAGUCUUUCAUCAGUGCACACCAGUUAGAGAAGGAUGUGUAGUCUUAUAUCAGUGCACACCAGCAGCUCAUCGCAGAAGCACAGCCCAUCAUUAAGCAAGAUGGCCACCACAAAAGAACCUCUUUGCAUCCUCUCUCACUUGCCACUGGUCGGAUAGUGGCUUGAUAAGCGCGUCUCACACAGUUCAGGUGGCUGCUGCUGUAGUCAUCUGUGGACGGCAACCUUUGCCUGCUGGGUGGACAUUUGCCUGAUGCCCACAGCAAUGGUGAAGACAUUCCACGGCCUGACCAUUGUGGCAGUGAAGGCGCGCUGGUGGGUGGUGGAGUAGGACCUUGCGACCUCCAAGAGGAAGUCGUUGCUCAGCACCACACUCGUGCAUCACUCAGACCUCCUCCAGGUGGCCCUCAAGUCCGUCCGCCAGGUGCGGCACAUACUGGUGUAGCACCAUCAGGGCGGUGACUCUCCUGCGGUGCUCCAAGCAGUCCAACGCUGGAGGUGCUACUGCUGCUAUUGUCAUGGUUGCUAGAAUGGUCUCUGCUGGUCCCCUCCGUGGAUAAGGUGUUCUGCCCGCCUCUGUACCUUAUCUAGCAGGCUGAGGUGACAGCGGAUGCUUGACAUCCAGCUGAGGGGGGUGUAUUCCAUGACAUGUCUGACUUGAGCCUUGUACAGGGUCAGCAGAUCAUCAGGGGAUAGGUGGUGUUUCACUCAGCACAGCACCUUUAGGGAGGCAUUUCAGGCCACCUUCUCUGAGCACAGCUCAGAGUCAAUCUCCACGGAGAAUGCCGUUGCUGUCCUGUAGAGGAAUGACAUCUUCCCUGAGCCUCAGCCUUCCAUGCAGCUGGUCCGUGCCCUCCCCAACACGUGAUAUUACUUACCAUGGCCUAGGUUUUGUUGGGAGGCAAACUUGACUUGCCACCUCUCUCCCCAGGCCAUCACGUUGUCCAGCUGUCUGUUGACGGAGGUUAUCACAUCCUGUACUACUUCCCUUGAGUAGGAUUAAGAGCGAGUACAAUCGUCAGUGUAGGCACAGGCUGUGGGGGUGCCCUGUACGAUGUCAUUUAGGUAGAUGUUCUACAGCGUGGGUCCCAGGACGGAUCCUUGUGGAACAGAGGCCUGUACUUGGUAGCUGGCUGAGGUAUGUCCAUGCACCACCACCCGGAGACAUCUGCCCAUGAGGUAGCUAGAGAACAGGUGGAGUGGCUCCCCAGCGACGCCGAGCUGCUCGAGCUUUGCUAUCAGGCCUCGAUGUCACACACAGUUAGAGGCUCCAGCUAUGUCGAGGGUAAUCACCAGGGAGGGAUGGCCAGUACCAAGGGUCGUGCCAGGCCUUAGAAAGGAGAAGGUGGUCUGAGAUGGAGCAGCUUUUUCUGAAGCCAAACUGCUUUGGUGACAGCAGGUGGCGCUGCUCGAGAUAUUUGGUGCUGCUCGAGGUAUUCGGUGAGUUUCUCACUUAUGAUCCUCUUGAAGAUCUUAUCGAGUACUGAGAGGAGCGAGAAUGACCGGUAGUUACCUGGCUCAGACCUCGACUUCAUAUUAUGCAUGGGUGUGACUCGUGCCUCCUUCCAUAGUGAUGGCCAGACCCCUCACUGCAAACAGCAGCAAAAAAAUUUGUGCUAGAGGGCCAACAAGUUCAUCAGCACACUUUUUGAGUAGAUGUCGGGUCACGCCGUCAGGACCAGGGCCCUUCCUGGUGUUAACAUCCCUCAGGUAUCUUCUGAUGGCAUCCUCCGAGAUGGCAAUGCCCUCCUGUCUCAAGGCAGUGAUGCAGGGGAGGGCAGGCAGUUGCCUGUCUGGCUCUGGAGUUCUCAUUUUUUUCAGCAAACUGGCAGGCUAGGAGAUCUGCUUUAUCUUGGCUGGAGACAGCCAUAUCCCUGUCAGGCUUCCUCAGGGCGGGGAUGUGUUCAGGAGAGGAGACACCUUGCCUCUCAUUUACUAAUCCCCACCAAUGCUUGGCAUCAACUUGGUUGGAGACCAGCUUCCGCCUCAUAUCCACCUCCCACCUUACCUUGGCCCACUUUACUGUCUUUGUCAUGAUCUUGCACAUCCUUUUGUGUCAUGCUUUGUUACACACUGUGUGGGGUGCUUCAUGUACUGCAUCCAGCCUUUGUACUUCUGCUCAGCAGCAAUCUUGCACCUGUACCCGAACCAGGGAUGAUGCUUUUGGUUGGUGGCAUGCGUUGCUGCUGCAGUGUGCAGAGGACAGUGGUGUCAUGGUGCAGGUCCCCGGUGAAUAUUGCUUCCCAGUCUGUCAAGGUCAGGGGGCCUGCCACAUAGCCAUCCAGUUGGUGCGGUCCCACAGCCAGGUGACUCACUGAUGAUCCUCGUCACACACCAGGGCAACACUGACAGUUGCAAGCACAGCAUGAUGGUCAGAGCUGCCCACACAGUCAAGAGGGCAGCACUGAACACGUUUUUGAGGCAGGUCCAUCAGCACUGGAUCCAGGGAGAGCCUCCACACUGGUGUGAAGGAAAGUCCACAUGAUUGUUGAGUCCCUGCACUGCUGUGAGCUCCAUGAAGGCCCUUGUCACCAAGUGGUGAUUAAGGUCUUCUCUCCUCUCUCUCUUCUCUUCUCUUCUCUUCUCUUCUCUUCUCUAUUCCUGUGGAGUUUGUGCACAUGUGAAUGGAGAGGAAUAAUCAAAUUGCAGUGUGUGAUAAAGCUUGAAGUGCUUAUGGAAUUUGCUUAGUGCUGAAAUAUAAAGAAGCAGCAGUAGUGGAAUAUGCUCAUGAAGUGUGACUGAACAGACCUUGUCUCAGCUACCACUUUUUGCAGAGAUGUAGGGUGUGGCAUAUAAUUAUUUAUUACUGUGUGCAAUCAUGGUUUGUAAAUGUUCUUGGAGGGGGGGGAACAUACAGGUCUGAGGGAGGGAAGAGAAUUGUUUUCACUUACAGAAUCUCUCUACAAACCAAGUGCACAUGAUAACAAAUUGCCAAUAUAUGUCUGAGUAAUAUUGCUGCAAAGGGUGGCAGCAGAGAUGAGGUUCCUGGGCAUGGUCACAUUUCCAGAGCAUUCUAUUGCGGUUAUCUUCUACACAGCAGCAUUAAAGUUAUCCAUCAGUACCUCCAGUUCUAUUGCACUGCAUAUUCCUCUCUGUACAAACUCUUCUACGUUUGUUUCCGUACUUAGUUGUCUUCCAUCUUCUAAAUUUGGGUACAGAUGUUUUGAUCAAGAAUAAUGUAGCAUAGAUCUUGUUGGGGAUGAUCUGUGGAAGUAGUACAAAACAUUAAACUUAUUGGAUUUUA